rnacentral:rRNA from 1 species
AUACCGGCCAGAGACCGAUAGCGCACAAGUAGAGUGAUCGAAAGAUGAAAAGCACUUUGAAAAGAGGGUUAAAUAGUACGUGAAAUUGUUGAAAGGGAAGGAUUUAUGACCAGACCUUUGCCUUGCGGAUCAUCCGGUGUUCUCACCGGUGCACUUCGCUUGGUUGAGGCCAGCAUCAGUUUUGGCGGCGGGAUAAAUACUUCAGGAACGUGACUCCCCCGGGAGUGUUAUAGCCUGCUGUGUAAUACCGCCGCUGGGACUGAGGACCGCGCUUCGGCUAGGAUGCUGGCAUAAUGGUCAUCAAUCACCCGUCUUGAAACACGGACC